ACGAACGCUGGCGGCGUGCUUAACACAUGCAAGUCGCACGGAAAGGCCCUGCUUUUGUGGGGUGCUCGAGUGGCGAACGGGUGAGUAACACGUGAGUAACCUGCCCUUGACUUUGGGAUAACUUCAGGAAACUGGGGCUAAUACCGGAUAGGAGCUCCUGCUGCAUGGUGGGGGUUAGAAAGUUUCGGCGGUUGGGGAUGGACUCGCGGCUUAUCAGCUUGUUGGUGGGGUAGUGGCUUACCAAGGCUUUGACGGGUAGCCGGCCUGAGAGGGUGACCGGCCACAUUGGGACUGAGAUACGGCCCAGACUCCUACGGGAGGCAGCAGUGGGGAAUAUUGCACAAUGGGCGGAAGCCUGAUGCAGCAACGCCGCGUGCGGGAUGACGGCCUUCGGGUUGUAAACCGCUUUCGCCUGUGACGAAGCGUGAGUGACGGUAAUGGGUAAAGAAGCACCGGCUAACUACGUG
rnacentral:rRNA from 1 species